GAUGAACGCUGGCGGCGUGCCUAAUACAUGCAAGUCGAGCGAACAGACGAGGAGCUUGCUCCUUUGACGUUAGCGGCGGACGGGUGAGUAACACGUGGAUAACCUACCUAUAAGACUGGGAUAACUUCGGGAAACCGGAGCUAAUACCGGAUAACAUGUUGAACCGCAUGGUUCAACAGUGAAAGACGGUCUUGCUGUCACUUAUAGAUGGAUCCGCGCCGCAUUAGCUAGUUGGUAAGGUAACGGCUUACCAAGGCAACGAUGCGUAGCCGACCUGAGAGGAUGAUCGGCCACACUGGAACUGAGACACGGUCCAGACUCCUACGGGAGGCAGCAGUAGGGAAUCUUCCGCAAUGGGCGAAAGCCUGACGGAGCGACGCCGCGUGAGUGAAGAAGGUCUUCGGAUCGUAAAACUCUGUUAUUAGGGAAGAACAAAUGUGUAAGUAACUAUGCACGUCUUGACGGUACCUAAUCAGAAAGCCACGGCUAACUACGUG
rnacentral:rRNA from 1 species